ensembl:snoRNA Gm55474 predicted gene, 24237
ACCCUCUGGUUUCUUUUCCCAUAGGACCUGGAGAUGGUCUUGAUGGGUGUAAAGGAGGAAAAUAAUGGUGCAGUAACAUUUACAGUUCUGCUGUCUGAAAAUGGAGCUUGUGGGUUUGAUUCAAAAAGGU